rnacentral:rRNA from 1 species
AGAGAUCAUGGCUCAGAAUCAACGCUGGCGGCGUGCCUAACACAUGCAAGUCGAACGCGACUGAGGCUUCGGCCUCAGUUGAGUGGCGAACGGGUGAGUAACACGUGGGUGACCUACCUUCGAGUGGGGGAUAACGUCCCGAAAGGGACGCUAAUACCGCAUAACAUCCUGCCUUUGAACAGGUGGAGAUCAAAGCUGGGGAUCGCAAGACCUGGCGCUUGAUGAGGGGCCCGCGUCCGAUUAGCUAGUUGGUGGGGUAACGGCUCACCAAGGCGACGAUCGGUAACCGGCCUGAGAGGGCGGACGGUCACACUGGGACUGAGACACGGCCCAGACUCCUACGGGAGGCAGCAGUGGGGAAUUGUUCGCAAUGGGCGCAAGCCUGACGACGCAACGCCGCGUGGAGGAUGAAGGUCUUCGGAUUGUAAACUCCUGUUGCCCGGGACGAAAUGCUCCAACCUAAUACGUUGGAGUUUGACGGUACCGGGUGAGGAAGCCCCGGCUAACUCUGUGCCAGCAGCCGCGGUAAUACAGAGGGGGCAAGCGUUGUUCGGAAUUACUGGGCGUAAAGGGCGCGUAGGCGGCCUGCUAAGUCGAACGUGAAAUCCCUGGGCUCAACCCAGGAACUGCGUCCGAUACUGGUUGGCUUGAAUCCGGGAGGGGGAUGCGGAAUUCCAGGUGUAGCGGUGAAAUGCGUAGAUAUCUGGAGGAACACCGGUGGCGAAGGCGGCAUCCUGGACCGGCAUUGACGCUGAGGCGCGAAAGCCAGGGGAGCAAACGGGAUUAGAUACCCCGGUAGUCCUGGCCCUAAACGAUGAAUGCUUGGUGUGGCGGGUAUCGAUCCCUG